rnacentral:rRNA from 1 species
CAGCAGCCACGGUAAUACGAAGGGGGCUAGCGUUGCUCGGAAUGACUGGGCGUAAAGGGCGCGUAGGCGGCGGCCAAAGUCAGGCGUGAAAUUCCCGGGCUCAGCCUGGGGGCUGCGUUUGAUACUUGGUUGCUUGAGUGGGGAAGAGGGUCGUGGAAUUCCCAGUGUAGAGGUGAAAUUCGUAGAUAUUGGGAAGAACACCGGUGGCGAAGGCGGCGACCUGGUCCUUUACUGACGCUGAGGCGCGAAAGCGUGGGGAGCAAACAGGAUUAGAUACCCCUGUAGUCCCUGUCUCUUAUAA